rnacentral:tRNA from 1 species
GUCCCUGUAGCGCAAUGGAUAGUGCGUUGGACUUCUAAUCCAAAGCUCGUGGGUUCGAAUCUUACCUGGGAUG